rnacentral:rRNA from 1 species
AUUGAACGCUGGCGGCAGGCCUAACACAUGCAAGUCGAACGGUAGCACAGAGGAGCUUGCUCUUCGGGUGACGAGUGGCGGACGGGUGAGUAAUGUCUGGGAAACUGCCUGAUGGAGGGGGAUAACUACUGGAAACGGUAGCUAAUACCGCAUAAUGUCGCAAGACCAAAGAGGGGGACCUUCGGGCCUCUUGCCAUCAGAUGUGCCCAGAUGGGAUUAGCUAGUAGGUGGGGUAACGGCUCACCUAGGCGACGAUCCCUAGCUGGUCUGAGAGGAUGACCAGGCACACUGGAACUGAGACACGGUCCAGACUCCUACGGGAGGCAGCAGUGGGGAAUAUUGCACAAUGGGCGCAAGCCUGAUGCAGCCAUGCCGCGUGUAUGAAGAACGCCUUCGGGUUGUAAAGUACUUUCAGCGGGGAGGAAGGUGUUGAGGUUAAUAACCUCAGCAAUUGACGUUACCCGCAGAAGAAGCACCGGCUAACUCCGUGCCAGCCGCCGCGGUAAAAC